rnacentral:lncRNA from 1 species
AGAAAAGUGAAUUUUGAGUUCCGUGAAUAAAAAGAAGUGGACUGCCCAUGACUCUUUAAAGAUACAUAUGCAGGUCAUAGAGAUAUGUAUGCAUCUGCAUGUUGAACACAAGUGAAUGUUAUACGUGAACAUUGAAAAGGUCUCGUGGAUGCUCCUCCUACUUCAAAAUGAAAAUGUGUGACAGGCCACAUCCCAAAGGCGCUUUCUUUUCUCAGACUCACCAGUGUGAUCAUUCAGUCAGCUCCAGCAUUUUAGGACCAUUGUUCUCCACAGUCACUGGGAGAAAUCUAUCCUCUCUACUUGUGUGGUUGCUUCUGAAGGAAAGGCCUAAAAACAGUGGAACCAUCUGGCCAGAAACCUCUGAAACCAUGGGCCAAAAUAAAUUAUAAAUUUCUUCCUUUAAGUUGUUUCUCAC